rnacentral:rRNA from 1 species
UGCAGUCGAACGGUGAAGCAGAGCUUGCUCUGUGGAUCAGUGGCGAACGGGUGAGUAACACGUGAGCAAUCUGCCCCUGACUCUGGGAUAAGCGCUGGAAACGGCGUCUAAUACCGGAUACGAGCUGCGACCGCAUGGUCAGUAGCUGGAAAGAAUUUCGGUCAGGGAUGAGCUCGCGGCCUAUCAGCUUGUUGGUGAGGUAAUGGCUCACCAAGGCGUCGACGGGUAGCCGGCCUGAGAGGGUGACCGGCCACACUGGGACUGAGACACGGCCCAGACUCCUACGGGAGGCAGCAGUGGGGAAUAUUGCACAAUGGGCGAAAGCCUGAUGCAGCAACGCCGCGUGAGGGAUGACGGCCUUCGGGUUGUAAACCUCUUUUAGCAGGGAAGAAGCGAAAGUGACGGUACCUGCAGAAAAAGCGCCGGCUAACUACGUGCCAGCAGCCGCGGUAAUACGUAGGGCGCAAGCGUUAUCCGGAAUUAUUGGGCGUAAAGAGCUCGUAGGCGGUCUGUCGCGUCUGCUGUGAAAACCCGAGGCUCAACCUCGGGCCUGCAGUGGGUACGGGCAGACUAGAGUGCGGUAGGGGAGAUUGGAAUUCCUGGUGUAGCGGUGGAAUGCGCAGAUAUCAGGAGGAACACCGAUGGCGAAGGCAGAUCUCUGGGCCGUAACUGACGCUGAGGAGCGAAAGGGUGGGGAGCAAACAGGCUUAGAUACCCUGGUAGUCCACCCCGUAAACGUUGGGAACUAGUUGUGGGGUCCAUUCCACGGAUUCCGUGACGCAGCUAACGCAUUAAGUUCCCCGCCUGGGGAGUACGGCCGCAAGGCUAAAACUCAAAGGAAUUGACGGGGACCCGCACAAGCGGCGGAGCAUGCGGAUUAAUUCGAUGCAACGCGAAGAACCUUACCAAGGCUUGACAUAUAGAGGAAACGUCUGGAAACAGUCGCCCCGCAAGGUCUCUAUACAGGUGGUGCAUGGUUGUCGUCAGCUCGUGUCGUGAGAUGUUGGGUUAAGUCCCGCAACGAGCGCAACCCUCGUUCUAUGUUGCCAGCACGUAAUGGUGGGAACUCAUGGGAUACUGCCGGGGUCAACUCGGAGGAAGGUGGGGAUGACGUCAAAUCAUCAUGCCCCUUAUGUCUUGGGCUUCACGCAUGCUACAAUGGCCGGUACAAAGGGCUGCAAUACCGUGAGGUGGAGCGAAUCCCAAAAAGCCGGUCCCAGUUCGGAUUGAGGUCUGCAACUCGACCUCAUGAAGUCGGAGUCGCUAGUAAUCGCAGAUCAGCAACGCUGCGGUGAAUACGUUCCCGGGUCUUGUACACACCGCCCGUCAAGUCAUGAAAGUCGGUAACACCUGAAGCCGGUGGCCCAACCCUUGUGGAGGAGC